ACCGCCGUCUGGAUGCCGGCCAGGAAGCGUAAUACUGUGAAAUUGCCGGUGGAAGGAGGCAAAAAGCGCGCGAGAACGUGUACCAACGUCGUCGUCGAUUCGCGGCGUGCUUUCCUCGCGAGUGAAUCGCGAGCUACGCUCCCUGUGUGCGCCCAGGGAGGGUGGCCGGCCCGAAAUUUGCAUUGCAGAGUGAAAUUAGCUUGGUAAAAAGUGGCCGGCCCCGUAAGGAAUUUGCAAUGUUAACGAGGCCGAUCGCCGCGUUUCUGAUGCACACCGAGAAUCCGAUCACCGAUGACCACCGUGGAAGUCAACGUGUUAAUCGGACCAACACGCCGAAACAGCAUGGGUUACUGAGACUCGAAGGUCUCUGGUGGUCCCUACGCAACUAUGACUCAUCGAACUACUCAUCCAUCGUGCGUGGUGCCCGUACCAUGGAGUCGUAUUUGCAGUCACGAUCCACCGCGUUCGUAAUUGUGACCUGAGCGUGCCUGAGGACACGCGACUGCACGCCCACACCAGUCAAACGUACACACGCACGAAUAAAGUUGAAAUUCCUACGUGGGAAAUAGCGAAACGUGCCAAGGACGUGGUGAAUUAUUCGACCAAAUUCAAAGGGAUAUCGUGUAUGAUUCACGUGUUGGACGCGUCUGUGUGAAUUUGCACGUCGUUUUGAGAAAAUCGAGUAUCGAUUCGUCGUUGUGAAACGGUGGUUUUCCGACGUCCUUACUUCGAUAAUAGUUCCCAACGUAGCUGGGUCAGAUGGUUCUAAUUAAGGAACUUUAUCUGGAUAGUAGUAAUUGGAACAUUACGAGCCCGUAUAUUUCAAUUAGCGAACGCCACGAACACCCCUGGCCGCCCUUGGAUUAAUUAUUAUUACUCGAGGAAUCGGUAAUUAAUACUUGGACAUAUCGACGGAAAUGAUAUCGAAGGGUCGAUAACUCCAUCAUUGGGAAUACGAGACGAAUCACGAAUGAUUAAAUACUAUCUGAUUCCAUAAUUUACGCGAGAAUAUCGGACUAACGUUCUAACGAUCUUCUAAUUAGAUUUUGUAUUCUCAUGAGUAUGCUAAAGGGACAUUAAACAUUUGAAUUAUAAUACAAAUUAUAACACGAAUUUCUUUAGCUUCCUUGGCGCUUCAAACUUCCAAUUAAUUCUCCGUGGUUUCGCUUUUCGAUCAUAUAUUCUUGCAAUUACAUUAACGCAUCGAUCAUUAUAUUUGUAUUGACCAUUCGUGCAAACCGAAUUCAAUUACUUUUAGUAAUCGAUAAUCAAAUAGGUAAAUAC
rnacentral:misc_RNA from 1 species